ACGUAGGGUGCGAGCGUUAAUCGGAAUUACUGGGCGUAAAGCGUGCGCAGGCGGCGCGUCGUGUCCUGUGUGAAAGCCCCGGGCUCAACCUGGGAAUGGCAUGGGAAACUGGCGCGCUGGAGUGCGGCAGAGGGGGGUGGAAUUCCGCGUGUAGCAGUGAAAUGCGUAGAGAUGCGGAGGAACACCGAUGGCGAAGGCAGCCCCCUGGGCUGACACUGACGCUCAGGCACGAAAGCGUGGGGAGCAAACAGGA
rnacentral:rRNA from 1 species